UUGCUUUUUCUAGGCGUCGACCGGCGCACGGGUGAGUAACGCGUAUCCAACCUGCCCAUCACUUGGUAAUAACCUUGCGAAAGUAAGACUAAUACCCAAUGAUAUCUCAAGAAGACAUCUGAAUGAGAUUAAAGAUUUAUCGGUGAUGGAUGGGGAUGCGUCUGAUUAGCUUGUUGGCGGGGUAACGGCCCACCAAGGCGACGAUCAGUAGGGGUUCUGAGAGGAAGGUCCCCCACAUUGGAACUGAGACACGGUCCAAACUCCUACGGGAGGCAGCAGUGAGGAAUAUUGGUCAAUGGGCGAGAGCCUGAACCAGCCAAGUAGCGUGCAGGAUGACGGCCCUAUGGGUUGUAAACUGCUUUUAUAAGGGAAUAAAGUGAGUCUCGUGAGACUUUUUGCAUGUACCUUAUGAAUAAGGACCGGCUAAUUCCGUGCCAGCAGCCGCGGUAAUACGGAAGGUCCGGGCGUUAUCCGGAUUUAUUGGGUUUAAAGGGAGCGUAGGCCGGAGAUUAAGCGUGUUGUGAAAUGUAGAUGCUCAACAUCUGCACUGCAGCGCGAACUGGUUUCCUUGAGUACGCACAAAGUGGGCGGAAUUCGUGGUGUAGCGGUGAAAUGCUUAGAUAUCACGAAGAACUCCGAUUGCGAAGGCAGCUCACUGGAGCGCAACUGACGCUGAAGCUCGAAAGUGCGGGUAUCGAACAGGAUUAGAUACCCUGGUAGUCCGCACGGUAAACGAUGGAUGCCCGCUGUUGGUCUGAAUAGGUCAGCGGCC
rnacentral:rRNA from 1 species